UACGUAGGGGGCAAGCGUUAUCCGGAAUCAUUGGGCGUAAAGCGCGUGUAGGCGGUGCUCUAAGUUCGGUGUGAAAUCUCCUGCUUAACUGGGAGGGUGCGCCGGAAACUGGGGUGCUCGAGCGUGGGAGAGGAAAGCGGGAAUUCCUGGUGUAGCGGUGAAAUGCGUAGAGUAUCGGGAGGAACACCUGUGGCGAAAGCGGCUCACUGGACCACACUGACGCUGAUGCACGAAAGCUAGGGGAGCAAACAGG
rnacentral:rRNA from 1 species